CAGUAGCCGCGGGAAUACGAAGGGGGCAAGCGUUAUCCGGAAUUAUUGGGCGUAAAGCGCGCGUAGGCGGUUUUUUAAGUCUGAUGUGAAAGCCCACGGCUCAACCGUGGAGUGUCAUUGGAAACUGGAAAACUUGAGUGCAGAAGAGGAAAGUGGAAUUCCAUGUGUAGCGGUGAAAUGCGCAGAGAUAUGGAGGAACACCAGUGGCGAAGGCGACUUUCUGGUCUGUAACUGACGCUGAUGUGCGAAAGCGUGGGGAUCAAACAGGAUUAGAUACCCCAGUAGUCCCUGUCUCUUAUAA
rnacentral:rRNA from 1 species